AUGUGGCUUAGUGGUAGAGUACUUGCCCAGCAUGUAUGAGGCCCUGGGUUUGAUCCCCAGCAU
rnacentral:tRNA from 1 species